rnacentral:pre_miRNA from 1 species
UUGGUUUAUCUUAAGUCAAACUUAUUCAACUUUGACUAAGUUUAUAGAAAAAUAUAACAAUACCUAUAAUAUCAAAUAUAUACACUAUCAAAAUAUAUUUCAUGGUGGAUUCAAUUAAACAAAUUUGGUAUUAUAGAUAUUGUUAUAUUUUUCUAUAAAUUUGGUCAACAUUAAACAAGUUUGAUUUAAAAUAAACCAAA